GAUGAACGCUAGCUAUAGGCUUAACACAUGCAAGUCGAGGGACCGGCGCACGGGUGAGUAACGCGUAUCCCACCUGCCCAUAACUAAGGGAUAACCCAGCGAAAGUUGGACUAAUACCUUAUGGUUAUGGCUGGGGAUGCGUUUGAUUAGUUUGUUGGCGGGGGAACGGCCCACCAAGGCAACGAUCAGUAGGGGUUCUGAUAGGAAGCCCCACCGCAUUGGAACUGAGGUACGGACCAAAAUGCUAGGAGAGGGAGCGGUAUGGAACAUUGGUGGAGGAGGGAGGACCUGAACCAGCCAAGUAGCGGGCAGGGUGACUGGCUAUGGGUUGUAAACUGCUGUUGUAGGAGGAUAGGUACCAUAAGAAUAAGGACCGGCUAAUUCCGUGCCAGCCGCCGCGGUAAUUC
rnacentral:rRNA from 1 species